rnacentral:rRNA from 1 species
UGGGGAAUCUUGGACAAUGGGGGCAACCCUGAUCCAGCCAUGCCGCGUGAGUGAUGAAGGCCUUAGGGUCGUAAAGCUCUUUCGCCUGUGAAGAUAAUGACGGUAGCAGGUAAAGAAACCCCGGCUAACUCCGUGCCAGCAGCCGCGGUAAUACGGAGGGGGUUAGCGUUGUUCGGAAUUACUGGGCGUAAAGCGCACGUAGGCGGACCAGAAAGUUGGGGGUGAAAUCCCGGGGGCUCAACCCCGGAACUGCCUCCAAAACUAUUGGUCUAGAGUUCGAGAGAGGUGAGUGGAAUUCCAAGUGUAGAGGUGAAAUUCGUAGAUAUUUGGAGGAACACCAGUGGCGAAGGCGCCUAACUGGUCCGGUACUGACGCUGAGGAACGAAAGCGUGGGGAGCAAACAGGAUUAGAUACCCUGGUAGUCCACGCCGUAAAACGAUGGAGUGCUAGAUGUUGGGGAUUUUCGGAUUUCAGUGUCGCAGCUAACGCAUU